AUUGAACGCUGGCGGCAGGCCUAACACAUGCAAGUCGAGCGGAUGAAGGGAGCUUGCUCCUGGAUUCAGCGGCGGACGGGUGAGUAAUGCCUAGGAAUCUGCCUGGUAGUGGGGGAUAACGUCCGGAAACGGGCGCUAAUACCGCAUACGUCCUGAGGGAGAAAGUGGGGGAUCUUCGGACCUCACGCUAUCAGAUGAGCCUAGGUCGGAUUAGCUAGUUGGUGGGGUAAAGGCCUACCAAGGCGACGAUCCGCAACUGGUCUGAGAGGAUGAUCAGUCACACUGGAACUGGGACACGGUCCAGGCGCCUACGGGAGGCAGCAGUGGGGAAGAGUGGACAAUGGGCGAAAGCCUGAUCCAGCCAGGCCGCGUGUGUGAAGAAGGUCUUCGGAUUGGAAAGCACUUUAAGGUGGGAGGAAGGGCAGUAAGUUAAUACGUUGCUGUUUUGACGUUACCGACAGAAUAAGCACCGGCUAACUUCGUG
rnacentral:rRNA from 1 species